rnacentral:rRNA from 1 species
CUAGUAACGGCGAGUGAAGCGGCAACAGCUCAAAUUUGAAAUCUGGCUUUCGGGCCCGAGUUGUAAUUUGUAGAGGAUACUUUUGAUGCGGUGCCUUCCGAGUUCCCUGGAACGGGACGCCAUAGAGGGUGAGAGCCCCGUCUGGUUGGAUGCCAAAUCUCUGUGAAGUUCCUUCGACGAGUCGAGUAGUUUGGGAAUGCUGCUCUAAAUGGGAGGUAUAUGUCUUCUAAAGCUAAAUAUUGGCCAGAGACCGAUAGCGCACAAGUAGAGUGAUCGAAAGAUGAAAAGCACUUUGAACAGAGAGUUAAAGAGUACGUGAAAUUGUUGAAAGGGAAGCGUUUAUGACCAGACUUGGACUUGGUUAAUCAUCUGGGGUUCUCCCCUGUGCACUUUUCCAGUUCAGGCCAGCAUCAGUUUUCGCCGGGGGAUAAAGGCUUCGGGAAUGUAGCUCUCUUCGGAGAGUGUUAUAGCCCGUUGUGUAAUACCCUGGCGGACACUGAGGUUCGCGCUUCUGCAAGGAUGCUGGCGUAAUGGUCAUCAACCACCCGUCUUGAAACACGGACCACGGAGUCGUCUUCGUAUGCAAGAGUUCGGCUGUCAAACCCCUGCUCGUAAUGAAAGUUAACGCAGGUGAAAGCUUCGGCGCAUCAACAACUGAUCCUGAAGGUUCUCGGAUGGAUUUGAGUAAAAGCUUACGGGGCCGGACCCAAAGAAGGGUAACUUUGCCUGCUUAGGGGGAAGCCUUAGAACUUUUUGGGGAAGCCCGAAGGGAUUUUGAGGGGAAUCCGAUCGCUAAAUAGGGGCU